AGCGUCUGCCUCCUCCCGCCCAGGCAGCUCGAGAGAGUCUUCGAGCUGCAUGAGUACAGCUCGUCUCCUCAAUACCGUUAGCACUGAUGCUUUGAGAACUUGACUUAGUAUAGCAGUGAGGAACUUGAAAGAGUAUGUAAGAAAUGAUCCAUCACACCACCCAAAUCAGGUUUAAACUCAAGUUGUGAGUCCCUUCUACUUAAGACUCCUGGUGGAUUCAACGGUGGUCUCAAUUGACAGUAUAGAAAUCUGCCAUAUCUCCUCUGCACAGUGCUAAUGCUGACUGGGCAGUUCUAGGCCUUCUCUGUGCCUGAAACUUUGCUGGACUUGCUGAGAAACACUGCCUGAACUGCCACAUAUGGGUACUCAUUCUCAUCAAGGGUCCUCACAUGGCUAUUCCAGCACACAAGAAUGCAUUCAGGAAGGAGCUGUGAUCAAAGCUUCCUGCUGAACUGAAAAUUGUAGACUCCAUGCAGGACCAAUGCACUGCUGCAUAGCAGUCCAUCUAGGGCGUGUGCUUGUGGAAGACUGAGAUAUGAAGCAGAAACAGAAAACCGAAAAUUAAGAGCAUAAGUCAUUGCAUGCUUGAACACUCAUGCUUUGGGCCGAUCUGUCUGCUGACUUCAGUGUUAAGCUGGGAGAUCAUGUAACUGUAGCAGUCUGCAUCUACUUCCAGUCCCCAUGAAUACACUAGAAGAAUGGAUGCUAUUAGAGCUACCCAGCUUACGUGGCCUGAAGAUCUCCUGCAGUUUCCUCACGAAAAUUUCUUUGGAUUCCUUUUGAUACGAAAUAGUUUAUUGCUGUGAUAUGGCAAAAUGCCAUAUACUUAACAUGCAGGUAAAUACAUGAUUGCUGUUGUUGGAUGACCUUCUGGAAUCGGUAUAAGACGCUAGAGAGGCUCUUGUUGAUCCCUAUUUUACCUGAACUGUUUUUUCAAGCCCUAAUUGUUAAACAACAUAUAGGGUUUUUAACAGUAUUGAUAAGCUUUGUCCUGGGGUUGUGAAAAUCAAAAAUUUGGGGCUUGAGGGGCUUUUUUGGCUUUCCAUUUUGAAUGGUUUGUAGCUAGGAGCUCAGAAAAAAAUAUUAUCUCUUAGGUGUAUUCCACAUGAAAUUGCAUCAGGGUUCUCAGUACUUCAGAUGUCUGUCCUCCUGGAUCUUAAUGGCCUCUAGUUCUGCAGUCUCUGGGAACAUUUUUUCUAACAUUUCACUGUGUUUCUUUACUAUUGGAAGGGUUUUCAUUAACAGAUUUUUUUACUUAUGAGCUCUCUCUUCCUGUCCUAACACUCCCAGAGACAGAGAACAGGUUUGCUUUUCCCCUCUGCCUCUUACCUAUUGUACGCUAACUACUGAGUCAUGGCCUGAACAACUGAUUGAGCACCUGGGGAAAAGACCUGGUCAGCCCUGGGAGCACAGGUGAAAGCAGUUCAUCUAUGUAACCAGAAGGGGGUGGAGCCUGGCUGUACCUCCCUUAGACCUCAUUUAAGGGCUGACUGCCCCUGGAGAGGGAUCUCUGGUUGGAGAUCCCUCCCUUACGGAGUUUUUCCUGUGAGCCUAGAACUUCAGAGAUGGGUGAGUACUUUUCCUUUGAGAAACCAUUCCAUCUGUGCUAGUUCCUUUGCUGUUACGCUCUUCUAUUGCCUUUCCGCUGUGUAAAUCUUUCUGAUUGUAACACCUGUUAUGAACACUGUGCUUUGUAUGAGUAGCAGUCACUAAAGGUUAAAAAAAAAAAAAAAAGAUUUCUUGUGCUAGAACUCUUACAACAAGUAAACGUGCUGUCUGCUCAGGUAGCUUCAAGCAUCACUUGGAGCAGAUGCAGGGGAGGACAGUACCAGCAUGACUUUACAAAAUAUAAGCAGGGUGAUAUACAGGUUCGCAGCUGCUGGGGCUGGCUGUAGGUACUGAUGCUGUGAAACAGGGAGCAAGAAACUCAGGAAAACAUCUACAACGAUGUCUACCAGGACAGUAAGUUUAAUGGGACUAUUGUAAGUCUGUAACUUUUAACGAGUGUUUCUCUGACGUUAACCUAAAUAGUGUUAAUCUAUUUCAACCAUAGGUCGUGUCAGUUAUGGAAUAGCACUUCUGAGUUUGAAGACUAGUGUCUUCUCUACCCUUGUCUGCAUGUUGUCUCUUUUGAUACUGCUCUUUUUACAGUGGAACUCUUGAACCAUUGUUGGAGCAUUUUAUAUGCUUUUUUUAUAUAAGUUAAAUAAAAGCUUAAAACU
ensembl:lncRNA